AAUAAAACUCAGAUUAUUAUAUCUUACAAGACACUUUACUUUUAUAAAAAGAUACAUGCGGAUAAAUAGUAUUCGUUACAUUUAAUUAAUAAAUUAGUGGUUAAUAUAAAUGUAAUGAGUCCAGGACAUAUUGCGAACUGUGCACAUUAAAUGUCAUGACCGUAUGGUCAUGACAUUUAAAAAUACUUUCGGCCGGCCUUUCAAAUACUAAACAUGUAAUAUGUACAAACUCUUAGUUUAAUAUCAUAUAUAACUGUUUACUUAACUAUUUAGUACAAUACAACAGACAUUAUUAAAAUGACAAUACAUCACCUUAAAUUAAUAUAACACGUGUGUCAUAAAUCAAUAUGAAAUAAUAUUAUUGACUCUAACUCAGCCCAGUCAUAAGAUUAACAAACUAAGAAAUUUUGGUCCUAAAAAAAUUAAUUAAAUUAUUCAUAAAACACUACACUUAUAGCACUACGUGGGACACGUGGGUACACUCUCAGAUGUAGCUACUAGGCCCCGUUUAGGCCUAGGUUACGGUGACAUUUAAUUAAUUGUAUUUAUGUAAAUAUUAAUGUAAUUUCAAUUAUUAUACGACAAUUGCCAUUAGUCACUGUUAACGACAAUUAUAAGAAAUUUUCAUAAAAUGAUUAGACUUAUAAAAUAGUUGACGAAACAAACUCUCAUUGUAUGUGUUUAUUUGUGUAAUACUGUAUAUGACAUGACACGCCAUUUAAAUUUGGAAAUAAUCACGAUACGAUAGAUUUCAUAAAAUGAGACGUUAUUUAAGCUAGUUGUUAAACACGGUACGAUAGAUUCUAUAAAAUGAUACGACAUUUAAAUUUGGUAAUAUCCACGAUACGAUAGAUUUCCUGAAAUGCGACGACAUUUAAGCUAGUUGUUAAACACGGUACGAUAGAUUCUAUAAAAUGAUACGACAUUUAAAUUUGGUAAUAAGCACUAUACGAUAGAUUCUAUAAAAUGACACGACAUUUAAAGUAGGUAAUAACCACGAUCAGAUAGAUUCCAUAAAAUUGCAGAUUUAAUAUAGAUGACAAACACAAUACGAUUGAUUUGAUAAAAUGACACGACAUUUAAAGUAGGUGAUAAACAUGAUACGGUCUAUUUCAUAAAAUGACAACACAUUUAAACUAGUUGUCAAACACGAUACGAUAGUUUUAAUAAAACAACACGACAUUUAAAGUAGGUAAUAACCACGAUAAGAUAGGUUUUAUAAAAUUACACAUUUAAAAUAGGUGACAAACACGAACGAUCUAUGUAUUUUAUAAAAUGACACGACCUUAAAACUACUUGCUAAACAUGAUACGAUAGACUUGCUAAAAUUACAUGACAUUUAAAUAAGGGAAUAACCACGAUACGAUAGAUUUCAUAAAAUGACACGAAAUUUAAUGUUGAUUUUAGCACGAUACGAUACAUUUAACAAAUGACACCGACAUUUAGAGUAAUUGAUAAAACACGAUACGAUGAAUUUCAUAAAAUGACAUCUACGUUAAGAGUAAUUGAUAAAACACGAGACGAUAUUAUAAAUUUCAUAAAAUGACACCGAGGUUUAGAGUAAUUGAUAAAACACGAUACGAUAUAAAUUUCAUAAAAUGACACCGAGGUUUAGAGUAAAUGAUAAAACACGAGACGAUAUAAAUUUCAUAAAAUGACACCGAGGUUUAGAGUAAUUGAUAAAACACGCUACGAUUAAUUUCAUAAAAUGACACCGAGGUUUAGAGUAAUUGAUAAAACACACCACAUUUAGAGUAAUUGAUAAAUCACGAUACGUUAUAAAUUUCAUAAAAUGACUACGACAUUUAGAGUAAUUGAUAAAACACGAGACGAUAUUAUAAAUUUCAUAAAAUGACACCGAGGUUUAGAGUAAAUGAUAAAACACGAGACGAUAUAAAUUUCAAAAAAUGACAUCGUGGUUUAGAGUAAUUGAUAAAACACGAUACGAUGUAAAUUUUAUAAAAUGACACCGACGUUUAAAGUUAUUGAUAAAAUACGAUACGAUAAAUUUCAUAAAAUGACAUCUACGUUAAGAGGAAUUGAUAAAACACGAUACGAUAUUAUAAAUUUCAUAAAAUGACACCGAGGUUUAGAGUAAUUGAUAAAACACACGACAUUUAGAGUAAUUGAUAAAACACGAUACGAUAUAAAUUUCAUAAAAUGACUACGACAUUUAGAGUAAUUGAUAAAACACGAGACGAUAUUAUAAAUUUCAUAAAAUUACUCCUAGGUUUAGAGUAAAUGAUAAAACACGAGACGAUAUAAAUUUCAAAAAAUGACACCGAGGUUUAGAGUAAUUGAUAAAACACGCUACGAUUAAUUUCAUAAAAUGACUACGACAUUUAGAGUAAUUGAUAAAACACGAGACGAUAUUACAAAUUUCAUAAAAUGACACCGACAUUUAGAGUAAUUGAUAAAACACACGACAUUUAGAGUAAUUAAUAAAACACACGACACUUAGAGUAGUUGAUAAAACACAAUACGAUAGAUAUCAUAAUAUUACAAUACCUAUAAAAUACUUGAUAAAACACGAUACUAUUAACUUUGAUAAGGACAAGACAUUUACGACUACAGUUAUAAAUAUUAAUCUAAUGUUAUAAUUAAAAUGGUUGACUUAGCGAUUGAAUUACUACACCGAUACCAUAUAGUUUUAUAAAAUAACGGGACAUUCAGGACUACACUCAAUUAAUAUAAAUGUAAUAUUAUAUAAUGGUAUACUUUGCAAUUAAUUUAUAACACUAUACUACAUGCAACUUUCAUAAUGACAUGACAUUUACGACUAUGUUUAAUUAAUCUUUUAUCUAGUAUUGUAUAAGUAUGAACUUAGUGAUUGAAAUACUACACGACACAACAUACUUUCAUAAAAUGACACGAGUCUUAAAAUGUAUCAAUUAUAGUUUUUAAUAAAUACUACCUUUACUUAAAUAUAAUACGUCCGUUUAAUACGUACGUUAUACACUUACAGCACCUUGGGCUACCGAGUUACUCGAGUUAAGGUGGUA